rnacentral:rRNA from 1 species
GCCGGGACCACCCGGUAAGGCUAAAUACUCCCAAGAGACCGAUAGUGAACCAGUACCGUGAGGGAAAGGUGAAAAGAACCCCGAACAGGGGAGUGAAAUAGAACCUGAAACCAUACGCUUACAACCUGUCGGAGCAGCUUCGUGCUGUGACGGCGUGCCUAUUGAAUAAUGAGCCUACGAGUUACUAAUCACUGGCGAGGUUAAGUGCACGGAUGCACGGAGCCGAAGCGAAAGCGAGUCUUAAUAGGGCGUUUAGUCAGUGGUUGUAGACGCGAAACCUUGCGAUCUACCCUUGAGCAGGUUGAAGGUUGGGUAAAACCAACUGGAGGACCGAACGAAUAAGCGUUGAAAAGCUUCUCGAUGACUUGAGGGUAGGGGUGAAAGGCUAAUCAAGCUGGGAAAUAGCUCGUACUCCCCGAAAUGCCUUUAGGGGCAGCGUUGUAAUUGAGAGUCUACUGGAGGUAGAGCUACUGAUUGGAUGCGGGGGCUUCACCGCCUACCAAAUCCUGACAAACUCCGAAUGCCAGUAGUAUGAUUUACAGCAGUGAGCGACCGGGUGCUAAUGUCCGGUCACAAAAGAGGAACAACUCAGACCAGCAACUAAGGUCCCCAAGAGUAUGCUAAGUUGAUCUAACGAUGUUUUGUUGCAGAGACAGCUAGGAUGUUAGCUUGGAAGCAGCUAUUCAUUCAAAGAGUGCGUAACAGCUCACUAGUCGAGCGACAAAGCGUGGAUAAUAAACGGGCAUCAAGUAUACCACCGAAGUUCUGGGCACGAAAGUGCGGUAGGGGAGCAUUCCAUUCUGCGUCGAAGCCGAAUCGUGAGAUUUGGUGGAGCGUAUGGAAAAGCAAAUGUAGGCAUGAGUAACGAUAAUGCGGGAGAGUAACCCGCACACCGCAAGACCAAGGUUUCCUGAUCAACGCUAAUCGGAUCAGGGUUAGUCGGGUCCUAAGGGUAAGCCGAACGGUGAUCUCGAUGGAUAAUCGGUUAAUAUUCCGAUACUGACAUAUACCUCGAUGGAGAGACGAAGGAACGUAAGUGCCGCCGCCUGACGGAAUAGGUGGUUAAAGGGCGUAGGUAUAGGGACAGAUUAAGAGUUAGUCCUUGCUGAAACCCGACAGUACAGAGAGCCUACGGGCAAUUUGAUAGUGCACCCAAGUCGACUUCCGAGAAAAUCUUCUAAGUUAUAGUAUAUGUCACCCGUACCGUAAACCGACACAGGUGGUCGAGGAGAGUAUCCUAAGGUGCUCGAGUGAAUCACGGUUAAGGAACUAGGCAAAUUAACCCCGUAACUUCGGGAAAAGGGGUCCCACCGCGAGGUGGGCGCAGCGAAGAGGUCCAGGCGACUGUUUAUCAAAAACACAGGGCUCUGCAAAUUCGAAAGAAGACGUAUAGGGCCUGACACCUGCCCGGUGCUGGAAGGUUAAGAGGGGAUGUCAUCGCAAGAGAAGCAUUGAAUCGAAGCCCCAGUAAACGGCGGCCGUAACUAUAACGGUCCUAAGGUAGCGAAAUUCCUUGUCGGGUAAGUUCCGACCUGCACGAAUGGUGUAACGAUCUGGACACUGUCUCAACCGUGAGCUCGGUGAAAUUGUAGUCCCGGUGAUGAUGCCGGGUACCCGCAACGGGACGAAAAGACCCCGUGAACCUUUACUAUAGCUUAACGCUGAAUUUGGGUACACAAUGUGUAGGAUAGGCAGGAGACUAUGAAGCGGGUACGCCAGUAUUCGUGGAGUCAACGUUGAAAUACUGCCCUUUGUGUAUUUGAGUUCUAACCCUCAAGAGGGGACACCGUUUGGUGGGUAGUUUGACUGGGGUGGUCGCCUCCAAAAGAGUAACGGAGGCUUCCCAAGGUACCCUCAGCACGAAUGGUAACCGUGCGUAGAGUGCAAUAGCAUAAGGGUGCUUGACUGUGAGACCAACAAGUCGAUCAGGUGCGAAAGCAGGGUAUAGUGAUCCGGUGGUUCUGCGUGGACUGGCCAUCGCUCAAAGGAUAAAAGGUACUCCGGGGAUAACAGGCUGAUCGCCGCCAAGAGCUCAUAUCGACGCGGCGGUUUGGCACCUCGAUGUCGGCUCGUCACAUCCUGGGGCUGGAGAAGGUCCCAAG